CCUACGGGAGGCAGCAGUAGGGAAUAUUGGUAAUGUGCGAAAGCGCGAACCAGCAACGCCGCGUGUGCGACGAAGGCCUUCGGGUCGUAAAGCACUUUUUGCGGGGAAGAGGAAGGACGGUACCUGCAGAAUAAGUCUCGGCUAACUACGUGCCAGCAGCCGCGGUAAAACGUAGGAGACGAGCGUUAUCCGGAUUUACUGGGCGUAAAGCGCGUGCAGGCGGCAUGGCAAGUUGGAUGUGAAAGCUCCCGGCUUAACUGGGAGAGGUCGUUCAAUACUGCCAAGCUUGAGAGUGGGAGAGGGAAGCGGAAUUCCUGGUGUAGCGGUGAAAUGCGUAGAUAUCGGGAGGAACACCAGUGGCGAAAGCGGCCUCCUGGCCCAUUUCUGACACUGAGGCGCAAAAGCUAGGGUAGCAAACGGGAUCAGAUACCCUGGUAGUCCUAGCCGUAAACGAUGUGAACUAGGCGUCGGCGAGUUCAAAUCCGUCUGUGCCGUAGCUAACGCGUUAAGUCUACCGCCUGGGGACUACGGCCGCAAGGCUAAAACUCAAAGGAAUUGACGG
rnacentral:rRNA from 1 species